AGAUUCAGGCUGUAUUUAGUGGGGGAGGGAUCUGGCCUCAUAUCCUUCAUCUUUAUGCUGCUCCACUCCAGCUCACAGCCCCUCCAACUGGAUGGAGCUCUUCGAAGGGAGGGGCAUUUCAGAGGAGGGUCUCAGGGAUAGCCCCUUUGUGGGGCUGGGCCACCAGGUUGGGGAGAGUGGAGCUGCUGGAACUCUGGAGGGACUGGCUGAGCCAGCUUUCCCAGUGCACCCCUCUGGGAGGGCAGGCUCUCGGUGUAGGCUGCCCAUCUCCUCGCUCUCCUCUGGCACUGCUCCUAUGCCCCCUUGGUUAGCCUGGGAGCCCAUACUACCCAGACUUGGGGUCAAUAAGCAGAGGACCUGUAAGGAGUCCUUGAUGGGAUGUACAGCACUGCCCAACCCUGCACAAGGUAGGGUAUUGCUGUUUGUUGUGUGGUGAGCUGCCUGCUUAUGGCUGGGUUUGGGCCUCCAUCCAUUUUUAUUUUCUUUGAGUUGGUCUCUGGGCAAAGCUUCUCCCAGCAGGCGGAAUCUGGCCUGG
rnacentral:lncRNA from 1 species